rnacentral:misc_RNA from 1 species
GAUGAAGAACGUAGCGAAAUGCGAUAAGUAAUGUGAAUUGCAGAAUUCAGUGAAUCAUCGAAUCUUUGAACGCACAUUGCGCCCGCCAGUAUUCUGGCGGGCAUGCCUGUUCGAGCGUCAUUUCAACCAUCAAGCCCCAGGCUUGUGUUGGGGACCUGCGGCUGCCGCAGGCCCUGAAAACCAGUGGCGGGCUCGCUGUCACACCGGGCGUAGUAGAUUUUAUCUCGCUCUGGGCGUGCUGCGGGUUCCGGCCGUUAAAAAACCCUUUUAACCCAAGGUUGACCUCGGAUCAGGUAGGAAUACCCGCUGAACUUAAGCAUAUCAAUAACGGAGA